AUUCCAGCUCCAAUAGCGUAUAUUAAUGUUGUUGCAGUUAAAAAGCUCGUAGUCGGAUUUCAAUGCGGGUUGACCGGUCUGCCGAUUGGUAUGCACUGGCCGAGCCGUAUUUCCUCCCGGAGACCUCGUCUACUCUUAACUGAGGCGGACGGGGGAAACGGGAUUUUUACUUUGAGGAAAUCAGAGUGUUCAAAGCAGGCUUUUGUAUGUAUGUGUUAGCAUGGGAUAAUAAAAUAGGACUUGGGUGCUAUUUUGUUGGUUUCGAACACCUAAGUAAUGAUUAAUAGGGAUAGUCAGGGGCACUCGUAUUCCACCGAGAGAGGUGAAAUUCUUAGACCAGUGGAAGACGAACUUCUGCGAAAGCAUUUGCCAGGGAUGUUUUCAUCA
rnacentral:rRNA from 1 species